GACGAACGCUGGCGGCGUGCCUAAUACAUGCAAGUAGAACGCACAGUUUAUACCGUAGCUUGCUACACCAUAGACUGUGAGUUGCGAACGGGUGAGUAACGCGUAGGUAACCUGCCUGGUAGCGGGGGAUAACUAUUGGAAACGAUAGCUAAUACCGCAUAAUAUUAAUUAUUGCAUGAUAAUUAAUUGAAAGGUGCAAUUGCACCACUACCAGAUGGACCUGCGUUGUAUUAGCUAGUAGGUGAGGUAACGGCUCACCUAGGCGGCGAUACAUAGCCGACCUGAGAGGGUGAUCGGCCACACUGGGACUGAGAAACGGCCCAGACUCCUACGGGAGGCAGCAGUAGGGAAUCUUCGGCAAUGGACGAAAGUCUGACCGAGCAACGCCGCGGGAGUGAAGAAGGUUGUCGGAUCGUAAAGCUCGGUUGUAAGAGAAGAACGGGUGUGAGAGUGGAAAGUUCACACUGUGACGGUAUCUUACCAGAAAGGGACGGCUAACUACGUG
rnacentral:rRNA from 1 species